rnacentral:rRNA from 1 species
UACAGAGGGUGCAAGCGUUGUUCGGAAUCAUUGGGCGUAAAGGGCGCGUAGGCGGUCAGCACAAGUCAGUUGUGAAAUCUCCGGGCUUAACUCGGAAAGGUCAACUGAUACUGUGCGACUAGAGUGCGGAAGGGGCAACUGGAAUUCUCGGUGUAGCGGUGAAAUGCGUAGAUAUCGAGAGGAACACCUGCGGCGAAGGCGGGUUGCUGGGCCGACACUGACGCUGAUGCGCGAAAGCCAGGGGAGCGAACGGG